rnacentral:rRNA from 2 species
UGGGGAAUCUUCCGCAAUGGACGAAAGUCUGACGGAGCAACGCCGCGUGAGUGAUGAAGGUCUUCGGAUUGUAAAACUCUGUUGUUAGGGACGAAAGCACCGUGUUCGAACAGGUCAUGGUGUUGACGGUACCUAACGAGGAAGCCACGGCUAACUACGUGCCAGCAGCCGCGGUAAUACGUAGGUGGCAAGCGUUGUCCGGAAUUAUUGGGCGUAAAGAGCAUGUAGGCGGGCUUUUAAGUCUGACGUGAAAAUGCGGGGCUUAACCCCGUAUGGCGUUGGAUACUGGAAGUCUUGAGUGCAGGAGAGGAAAGGGGAAUUCCCAGUGUAGCGGUGAAAUGCGUAGAUAUUGGGAGGAACACCAGUGGCGAAGGCGCCUUUCUGGACUGUGUCUGACGCUGAGAUGCGAAAGCCAGGGUAGCAAACG